AUUGAACGCUGGCGGCAAGCUUAACACAUGCAAGUCGAGCGGAGAGAGGUAGCUUGCUACUGAUCUUAGCGGCGGACGGGUGAGUAAUGCUUAGGAAUCUGCCUAUUAGUGGGGGACAACAUCUCGAAAGGGAUGCUAAUACCGCAUACGUCCUACGGGAGAAAGCAGGGGAUCACUUGUGACCUUGCGCUAAUAGAUGAGCCUAAGUCGGAUUAGCUAGUUGGUGGGGUAAAGGCCUACCAAGGCGACGAUCUGUAGCGGGUCUGAGAGGAUGAUCCGCCACACUGGGACUGAGACACGGCCCAGACUCCUACGGGAGGCAGCAGUGGGGAAUAUUGGACAAUGGGGGGAACCCUGAUCCAGCCAUGCCGCGUGUGUGAAGAAGGCCUUAUGGUUGUAAAGCACUUUAAGCGAGGAGGAGGCUCUUUUGGUUAAUACCCAAGAUGAGUGGACGUUACUCGCAGAAUAAGCACCGGCUAACUCUGUGCCAGCAGCCGCAGUAACAC
rnacentral:rRNA from 1 species